AAGCGCUUCCAACCAGACUCCGCGGCGGUGUUCCGCCGGUCUUCUGACCGGUCUACUCGCCGCCGUGGGGCCAACAUCGUCUGGGGCCGCCGGAUAAGACCGGAGGAAUGUAGCUCUUUGAGUGUUAUAGCCUCCGGUGAUGCGGCGCGUCCCGGGCGAGGUCCGCGCUUCGGCUAGGAUGUUGGCGUAAUGGUUGGCAGCGG
rnacentral:rRNA from 1 species